AGCGGGUAUAGUUUAGUGGUAAAACAUUAUCCUUCCAAGCUAAUGAUGUGGGUUCGAUUCCCACUACCCGCUU
rnacentral:tRNA from 1 species